UACGGAGGAUGCAAGCGUUAUCCGGAAUGAUUGGGCGUAAAGCGUCCGCAGGUGGCUAUGUAAGUCUGCUGUUAAAGAGUGAGGCUCAACCUCAUAAGAGCAGUGGAAACUACAUGGCUAGAGUGCGUUCGGGGCAGAGGGAAUUCCUGGUGUAGCGGUGAAAUGCGUAGAUAUCAGGAAGAACACCGGUGGCGAAAGCGCUCUGCUAGGCCGCAACUGACACUGAGGCGCGAAAGCUAGGGGAGCGAACAGG
rnacentral:rRNA from 1 species